GCCCGUUUAGAGCAGUGGUUUAGCUCGCUGGCCUCCGAUUCUCUCCUUGAAUCCUCAAAGCCAGAAGUCAUUGGUUCGAAUCCGAUAGCGGGUG